rnacentral:rRNA from 1 species
UCGGGUUGUAAAGCACUUUUGUCCGGAAAGAAAACUUCUGUCCUAAUACGGCGGGGGGAUGACGGUACCGGAAGAAUAAGCACCGGCUAACUACGUGCCAGCAGCGCGGUAAUCGUAGGGUGCGAGCGUUAAUCGGAAUUACUGGGCGUAAAGCGUGCGCAGGCGGUUCGUUAAGACAGAUGUGAAAUCCCCGGGCUUAACCUGGGAACUGCAUUUGUGACUGGCGGGCUAGAGUAUGGCAGAGGGGGGUAGAAUUCCACGUGUAGCAGUGAAAUGCGUAGAGAUGUGGAGGAAUACCGAUGGCGAAGGCAGCCCCCUGGGCCAAUACUGACGCUCAUGCACGAAAGCGUGGGGAGCAAACAGGAUUAGAUACCCUGGUAGUCCACGCCCUAAACGAUGUCAACUAGUUGUCGGGUCUUCAUUGACUUGGUAACGUAGCUAACGCGUGAAGUUGACCGCCUGGGGAGUACGGUCGCAAGAUUAAAACUCAAAGGAAUUGACGGGGACCCGCACAAGCGGCGGAUGAUGUGGAUUAAUUCGAUGCAACGCGAAAAACCUUACCUACCCUUGACAUGGACGGAACCUGGCUG